GAUAAACGCUGGCAGUGUACAUAAGACAUGCAAGUCGAACGGGAGAAGACAGGAAGAUUUAUCUACUUGUUGAACACCGUGGCGGACGGGUGAGUAACACGUAAGCAACCUGCCUAUAAGAGGGGAAUAACAGUGAGAAAUUACUGAUAAUACCGCAUAAGCUGGAGGUAUCGCAUGAUACAUUCAGAAAAGAUUUAUCGCUUAUAGAUGGGCUUGCGUCUGAUUAGCUAGUUGGUGAGAUAACAGCUCACCAAGGCGACGAUCAGUAGCCGGAUUGAGAGGUUGAACGGCCACAUUGGGACUGAGACACGGCCCAGACUCCUACGGGAGGCAGCAGUCGGGAAUAUUGCACAAUGGAGGAAACUCUGAUGCAGUGACACCGCGUAUAGGAAGAAGGUCUUAGGAUUGUAAGCUAUUGUUCGUGUGAGAAAGAAAAUGACC
rnacentral:rRNA from 1 species